UACCCGCUGAAUUUAAGCAUAUCAUUAUGCGGAGGAAAAGAAAUCAAACGAGAUUCCUCGAGUAACGGCGAGUGAAAGGGGAUAAGCUCAGCGUGUAGCCUCGGGGAUGCCCUCCAAGUGAGUGUGUUAAUCCUACGAUGGGAUGCCACGUAUGGGAGAAUACUAGAAGAGUCUGCGACCCGGCAAUCCGAACUGUUUGAUGAAACAUUGCCCAUAGAGGGUGUUAGGCCCGUAGGACCGUUGUUGUCGUGACUUUUCGCGGUAUUCUCUCGAGAGUCGGGUUGUUUGAGAAUACAGCCUUAAGAGGUGGGAAACUCCAUCUAAAGCUAAAUAUUACUGCGAGACCGAUAGCGAACAAGUACCGUGAGGGAAAGUUGAAAAGGACUCUGAAGAGAGGGUUAAAGAGAGCGUGAAACUGCUACGGGGAUAAAGCGGAUACAUUAGCGUAGUCGAAAAGGGAGAUACAGCUCGUGGGUAGUCGACCUAUUUGUUAUAUCGUACGUGAGGGAUUAUCCCGAUGUGUUUGUUCGUUCGCGCGAGCAUCUAUCGGUUCUUAGUUCUUUUCGUUACGUUAUCUAUAUAGAGUACGUACGCUAACGAGUCUAAUUCACACCUGAGUAGGCCGUCGCGACGGUUGGAAAGUUGUCUAAGGCUCGUACGAAGGUCGUGGGAACUCUCGGUUACGGCGUUAGUGUAGAGUGUACGCAAGUAUAUUUUUACUUUCGUCGUUUAACUAAGAGGAACGCUUUCUUGAAUUUACUGACGGAUUUUCCGACCGGAGAAAUAGACGUCGAGAGUCUUCCAAAAGAAGAUUGUGGACGUAAUUGCGGCGCUCGUAGCGACCAAUUUAUCCGUCCCGUCUUGAAACACGGACCAAGGAGUCUAACAUGUACGCGAGUCAAAGGGUCUACAAAACCCCUAGGCGUAAUGAAAGUAAAAUUGUAUAUAUUUUAUAUAUAUAUUAACGGAUUGAUCCGUUGCUCUCCGCGUGAGACCGGCGCAAAUCCGGGACCCGUCUACUGCUUUGGUAAAUUUUAUUUACGAAAGUUUCACGUGGCGGGUACCUUGAGCGUACACGUUGGUACCCGAAAGAUGGUGAUCUAUGCUUGGCCGGGAUGAAGCCAGAGGAAACUCUGGUG
rnacentral:rRNA from 1 species